AUUGAACGCUGGCGGCAUGCCUAACACAUGCAAGUCGAACGGGGGUAGCAAUACCCUAGUGGCGGACGGGUGAGGAAUACGUAGGAAUUUGCCCUUAAGUGGGGGAUAACCUGGGGAAAGCCGGACUAAUACCGCAUGAUCUCGUGAGGGCAAAGCAGGGGACCGCAAGGCAUUGCGCUUUUGGAGAAGCCCACGUCGGAUUAGCUAGUUGGUGGGGUAAUGGCCGACCAAGGCUACGAUCCUUAACUGGUCUGAGAGGAUGAUCAGUCACACCGGAACUGAGACACGGUCCGGACUCCUACGGGAGGCAGCAGUGGGAAAUAUUGGACAAUGGGCGAAAGCCUGAUCCAGCAAUGCCGCGUGCGUGAAGAAGGCCUUCGGGUUGUAAAGCACUUUAGGCUGGAAAGAAAAAGCUUUGGCUAAUAUCCAAAGCCUUGACGCUACCAGCAGAAUAAGCACCGGCUAACUCUGUGCCAGCCGCCGCUGUAAGAC
rnacentral:rRNA from 1 species